AGUGAACGCUGGCGGUAGGCCUAACACAUGCAAGUCGAACGGCAGCACAGUAAGAGCUUGCUCUUACGGGUGGCGAGUGGCGGACGGGUGAGGAAUACAUCGGAAUCUACUUUUUCGUGGGGGAUAACGUAGGGAAACUUACGCUAAUAUCGCAUACGACCUACGGGUGAAAGCAGGGGAUCUUCGGACCUUGCGCGAUUGAAUGAGCCGAUGUCGGAUUAGCUAGUUGGCGGGGUAAAGGCCCACCAAGGCGACGAUCCGUAGCUGGUCUGAGAGGAUGAUCAGCCACACUGGAACUGGGACACGGUCCAGACUCCUACGGGAGGCAGCAGUGGGGAAUAUUGGACAAUGGGCGCAAGCCUGAUCCAGCCAUACCGCGUGGGUGAAGAAGGCCUUCGGGUUGUAAAGCCCUUUUGUUGGGAAAGAAAAGCAGCAGGUUAAUACCCCGCUGUUCUGACGGUACCCAAAGAAUAAGCACCGGCUAACUUCGUG
rnacentral:rRNA from 1 species